rnacentral:rRNA from 2 species
UUUAAUUCAAACCAACCCGAAAAACCUUACCAGGUCUUGACAUCCUCUGCUACUUCUAGAGAUAGAAGGUUCCCUUCGGGGACAGAGUGACAGGUGGUGCAUGGUUGUCGUCAGCUCGUCGUCGUGAGAUGUUGGGUUAAGUCCCGCAACGAGCGCAACCCUUGAUCUUAGUUGCCAGCAUUUAGUUGGGCACUCUAAGGUGACUGCCGGUGACAAACCGGAAGGAAGGUGGGGAUGACGUCAAAUCAUCAUGCCCCUUAUGACCUGGGCUACACACGUGCUACAAUGGAUGGAACAAAGGGCUGCAAAACCGCAAGGUUAAGCCAAUCCCAUAAAACCAUUCUCAGUUCGGAUUGUAGGCUGCAACUCGCCUGCAUGAAGCCGGAAUCGCUAGUAAUCGCGGAUCAGCAUGCCGCGGUGAAUACGUUGCCCGGGUCUUGUACACACCGGCCCGUCACACCACGAGAGUUUGUAGACACCCGAAGUCGGUGAAGGUAACCUUUUUUGGGAGCCAGCCGACGAAGGUGGGGCAGAUGAUUGGGGUGAAGUCGUAACAAGGUAACCGUACC